rnacentral:lncRNA from 1 species
ACGGAAGACACAUAAAAAACUAUAUAUUUAUGUUCACCAAACUCACAAGUUGGAUAUGCGAAUAGUAGCUAUUGGGCACAUGAGGAAAAGUAUCCAAAGAAAUUUCUUCCUAUGACCAAAUAUUAGCACUUGGGAAAGUACACAAAUGUAGAUGUACACAACCAGACUCGCAACAUAGUUAGAAAGAUGAGGGGGGAAAUACUAGAUAAAUAUUUUGAGGGGAAAAUUUCUGAUAUAUCAACCAAAUAUCAGUCGAUCAUUAGAACUUUAUCCUAAACAAUAAUCUCCGUGUAAUAACGCAAACUACUCUUAAGAGACAAUUCGACCUACGACCGUUCUCGAAAUAAUUAAUAUAAAUUUUAUCCUAUGAGAGCUUCAGCACAAAAAAUGAAAAAAGAAAAAAAGAAAACGGGGGAAUGAUUAUUCAAUUUACAUAAAUAAAAGUAUUCAAUAUGGUAGAAUAAUAGCCAUUCACUGGAAAGAGCUACCACUUGUCCUCGAGUACAUAACAUCAGGCAGAGCUCACCAUGUUCCUAAUUAAGCAUCCAUCUCGCCAACUAAUAGAAUCAGAACCACCCAUCUACUACUUGUUGUAUCAAUCCUAUGAGAACAUGACAUGCUAAUGCAUUGUAAAUGUUAAGCUUCCCAGGAAUAUGUAUGACGCAUCCACCAGAUAAAUUGACACUGGAUGGAGACAGUUGGUGCGGACUGGACCCCAUGCAUCAUGGGGUUUCCCUCUCCAUCCGUCCUUCCCAUGCGGCCGCCUCAGUCGAACGGAAGUCGUCCACCGAUCCCGGGAGAGAGAGGAAAAAUAUAAAAGAUAUAUAAUUAUGUUUUCAGAUCCUUCCUUCCUUUGGUUGUGGGUAAAUUCUUAGGUAAUCACCAUGAUCAGAUACUGCAGCAACCACGGGUUCUUCGUUCCCGUUCUAAUUGAUGUACAUAAAAAGAAAAAGGAGAGCCAAGCCAUAGAGCUAAAUGCAGGCCAUAAUUGGACGAUAUAAUUCCUUCUCCAGAUGCCGAUCCCAACUGACGACGGAGAUAUUAGGUGUUAGCAAUAUAUCUCCUAACUAAAUAAAUAAAUCUAUAAAUUCAAUUAAUAAAAAAAAN